GACGAACGCUGGCGGCGUGCCUAAUACAUGCAAGUAGGACGCAGUUGCGAACGGGUGAGUAACGCGUAGGUAACUACCUAUUAGAGGGGGAUAACUAUUGGAAACGAUAGCUAAUACCGCAUACUAGGAGAUGGACCUGCGUUGUAUUAGAUAGUAGGUGGGGUAAUGGCCUACCUAGGCAACGAUACAUAGCCAACCUGAGAGGGUGGUCGGCCACAAUGGGCAUGAGGAACGGCCCAGACUCCUACGGGAGGCAGCAGUGGGGAAUCUGCGGCAAUGGGGGGAAUCCUGGCCGAGCAACGCCGCGGGAGUGAAGGAGGUUUUCGGAUCGUAAAGCUCUGUUGUUAAGGAAGCGGUACUUAACCAGAAAGGGACGGCUAACUACGUGCCAGCAGCCGCGGUAAUAC
rnacentral:rRNA from 1 species